rnacentral:rRNA from 1 species
ACGGGGCCCGCACAAGCGGUGGAGCAUGUGGUUAAUUCGACGCAACGCGAAGAACCUUACCAGGGCUUGACAUCCCUUGAAGCAGCUAGAGAUAGCUGUGUCCUUCGGGACAAGGAGACAGGUGGUGCAUGGUUGUCGUCAGCUCGCGUCGUGAGAUGUUGGGUUAAGUCCCGCAACGAGCGCAACCCUUAUCCCUAGUUGCCAUCAGGUAAAGCUGGGAACUCUGGGGAGACUGCCGGUGAUAAACCGGAGGAAGGCGGGGAUGACGUCAAGUCCUCAUGGCCCUUACAUCCCGGGCUACACACGUGCUACAAUGGCAGGUACAGAGGGCUGCGAAGCCGCGAGGUGGAGCGAAUCCCAGAAAACCUGUCUCAGUCCGGAUUGAAGUCUGCAACUCGACUUCAUGAAGGCGGAAUCGCUAGUAACCGCGAAUCAGCAGGUCGCGGUGAAUACGUUCCCGGGCCUU